UACGUAGGCAGCGAGCGUUGUUCGGAGUUACUGGGCGUAAAGAGUGCGUAGGCGGUUUUCUAAGUUUGGUGUGAAAUCUCCCGGCUUAACUGGGAGGGUGCGCCGAAAACUGGAAGGCUUGAGUAUGGGAGAGGUAAGCGGAAUUCCUGGUGUAGCGGUGAAAUGCGUAGAUAUCAGGAGGAACACCUGCGGUGUAGACGGCUUACUGGACCAUAACUGACGCUGAGGCACGAAAGCGUGGGGAGCGAACAGGA
rnacentral:rRNA from 1 species